AAAGUCGGUGUUUAAGCCCUGACCAUGUUAUAUGACUGACCUUAUUGAUUUCUUGCUCCUUCACCAGGUCUUACCAGUCGGUAUUAUGGGCCUUGCACUGAGCUCCCAUCAAACACUUCGAUUGUUGCAAUUACUGAAACACGCGAUUUGGUCCUUUUGCGUGGCAUGCAUCAUCUGCUCAGCCCUUAUAGUGUACAUCUACACAGCCUGGGGUCUAUCAUACAUAUUGUGGAUUGCCCAUUUCAGAAAUAUUGCCGGGUAUAAUAGUACAGAUGCUGAAAACUUCGUGGCAAAGGAAGACAAAAUGGUGUACACCGAGAAGGAAAAAGUGCUCUGGUUGUCUUCGCAUUUGUCAUCAUUUGCAGUGUCAUUGAGAUCGUUCUGUCGGCUGCCAUGAUCAAGAUAUGUGAGACAAUCGCUAAGACCCCUCAAGUGUCUUCGAAUUGUGGUGCAUAUUACCAGAUGGACGAGUGUCAUCAACCCCGGCUGGUAUAUCCUGUUAUGCAAGAGCAGGUGC